UUGUUUGACUUUAUUGGAUUGGGAUCAUAUAAACAAGAAGAUAUAACAACUUGAUGAGGACAAACAUGUUGAGGUUAACAUACUGUAGGUAACGAAAGGAAACUCCCACGGUAGAAGCAGGCGUACAAAGAUCAAAACUUAAGUGCAAGAACAAAAGAGAGAAUAGUUGAAAGAGUUUCACUUCUACUGAGUGGUCUUCAAGAAGACUUUCUCUUCCAUUCGCACAGUCAAUCUUAAGAAUUCAUUAUGGCAGAUCAUCAGCUGUUCUCAAGACUCAUGAAAUCCUUUGGACACAGCCCUCUUGUUGCAAAUGGGGUUUUUGCCUUUGCCCUGGCUCUUGUAGAGAAGAUAGCGGAGGUGGAGUUUGCUUGCCCUUGCAAUCCUCAAUGGAACCGCCUGUUUGCAUCUGCAUUUUUUGUAAUUCCUGCCAUUAUAGUUUUUUUGCUGAUGAUGAUAAUCCAUGAAUGCAAGUGUUCAAAUCCUCAAAAGUCUAUAUACAGCUUUGUCCCUCCCUUGGUAUGGCAGGGUCUCAUCUUCCUUGAUGGCCAAUACUUUGUCUGUGCACAAACAUACUGGUCAGGCACAUUUGUCUCUGUUGACAACUCUUAUCUGAAGUGGUGUACACCGACCAACACAACAAUAUCCUCAUCAGAAGAACUCAUGGCUUAUUCACACAGAAUGUUUGUUGUGUCUCAGGGAAUUGGAUUUGUUAUACUCAUCUUUUUCUCCGUGGCUAUCCUUGCAUAUGGGAUAAUGAAGUGGAGAAAAUAAAAUUAACUUCAACAAUCCACAAGAUCCAGAAGGGGAAACAAAGACGAAAGAAUGGAGGAUGUUGAAAAAGUAUGUGAUGGAUGAAUAAUAGAUAUGCUUUAUUAUGUAUACAGAGACAGGAGGUCUUCAAAAACACACAUGAUCAAAAAAACAUGUUACUACAUUUUAAUCAGGUAUUUUUUCUGCCUAAAUUUUCUCCCUAAUUUGGUAUUGCCAGAAGCUUCUUUUCCCCCUGCCAGCUGUGAGUUUUGCUCGCUCUUAUAAUCCCAUUAUAUGCUACAGUUUCAGCAUCAAACAGCAGGCAGACAAACUUAACGGCUGGCAGGCGAAUUGAGUUGGAGACCAAAACAGACAUAGAAAGAGAGUAAAUGUUGGACUUUCAUGCAGCGAGAAAAACACUCCAAUGGGAUAAUACUAAUGCUGCUCUGUGUGUGCUGGAUGUAUAAGAAGGCAAGUGUUUGCUAAUACGUGACAAAGUGAUAAUGAGUAUGUAAUGAGAAUGUCUGUUGGCUGGCUUGUUUUGGAGUCCUUCUGUCCCCUAGUAGCCAAACAAUCAGCAAAAAUACUGCUGUAAGAACAUACCAUUUUUUACUUAGAUAAAGAUAUUUUUAGUCUGACCAUGGCCCAUCUAACUUUAAACAUAUUCUCAGUCGGUGACAAGUCAAAAAAUAUAAUUGGUAUCCAUGUAUGAUUUAAAUAUGUAUGCAAAAAUGUCAGAAUUGUUAUAUACAUUGUUCGACAAAUAUAGUGUUCAGUGUUUUUAUAUAUUUUGUAAGGAUAAAUAGGAAUUUUUAAAAACAUUUUUAGAUAUCUUGUUGUGUAUUUUUCAUUAUAAAAGGUAUGUAAGCUGCUUUCCACAAAAAAUAGGCAAUUAUCCUCUGAUCUAACUGACUGAUCCGUGAUAGUACAUGAUAUUUACCUGUAAAAUGCUGAUGUUUUUCACUUUUGCAAUCACAUUGCAUGCUACUGUAUGUCCUGAUUCAUAUAUAUUGAAUGUUGACUGUGAAUAUGGUGUGUGACUCAUGGGAAACAGAAAAGAUAAAGAAAUUGUGUCUUUUACCACAGUGUUUUUCAACCACUGUGCCGCGGUACACUAGUGUGCCGUGAGAGAUCGUCAGGUGUGCCGUGGAAAAUUAUUCAAUUUCACCUAAUUGGUCUAAAAAACAUUUUUUGAAAACUAAUUAAUUAUUGUCUGCAAAUAAUAUGCCAUUGUCAAGUGUCUGUGCUGUCUAGUGACCGGCAGAGUAACCAUGUCAUACUGACUGUAUAUUGUUAAUAUAGGCUACAGAGGUUCAUUUUUUAACAUUUUCGGUUGGUGGUGUGCCUUGUGAUUUUUUUCAAUGAAAAAAUGUACCUUGGCUCAAAAACCAGAUAUCCUGUCUUUUACAUGGCACAGGCAUGGUGCUAUGUAUGAGAUCAGAUACACAAUGUGGAAAACAACAACAAAAAUUACAUUAAAAGGUACUGUAUGUAGUUUUAGACAUGUAUUAAUCGCUUUUUAUUGCCAAUGUGUGAACGGGUUGUUGGCUUAGAAAUUGAGUCCGCUAACAAACGACCGACACCCACCGAAACACAGUGUAAAACACAAAGUCCAAAGUCGAAGCUAACAUUAUUACAAAGCAUGUUAAAUGUAUUGUGCUACUGUGGUUUUAGCUGGCUAACGUUAGCUUGCUUGCUAACGCGGACGAAUUGCUAGCUAGCUAACGUAGCAAAAUACUGUCUUGGGUGGAUAACGUCAGUUAAUUUAUCCCGACACCAGGGGCUGAUCUGGCUGGUAAAUUUGUUUGCUCGCCAUUUGCAGGUUACCGUGUCGGCUGGGAUUAAACUGGAUGUAUAACCUUAGCUUGCUAGCUUGGAUGUGGCUUGGCGGCGCGGUGUGGGUCUGGCGUUGGUUGCUUCGUGGUGUUGGCUGAUGGGGUGAUUUGCACAGUCAGUAUCAUGGAGCCAGUGGUCCAAGUAAAAUAUAGAAACAUUACACAUAGUAACAUGAUGCUCGCACGCGCCUACAGAGUGCGAGCGCGAGCAACAUGCUGACUGCAGUUCACUUAACGGCCAAAGGUUUAAAAUUAAAAUUGGUUAUUGUGUUUUAGAUAAUAAUAGUAUUAGAAAUGCUAUGUAAAAUUAUUCUGUGUCUCAAUUAAAUCUGUGUCAAUUGUCCACUUUCUUAUGGGUUCAGAAAUGCUAUGGUCACAUUUUCUCCUGUAAAUAUGACAUCUUACUUUGGAAAAUAUAUUUUAUUAUUUUACAACUGACUUCUAAAAUCUCCCCAGUCCAUUUCAAGUGAAACAAAUAAAACUGGAAUCAAUUUUUGUUUGUAGUUUAGCUACUUAAUAAAUCAUCUAUGGUUUAAAACAUCUAUGCAAAAUGUCUUGUUUUGUACAUAUUUGUAAAUUGUGUGUAAUAGUGUUUAUUAUUUUCAUAUACUAUAUGAUCCAUAUGUUUAAGUAUGAAGCAAGCAUUUUUUUUUACUUUUAGUUGAUAUUUACUUUUAGUUUUGCAUUCACAAAGCAUUUUACUGUAUGUCCUGGUUCAUAUAUUGAAUGUUCACUGUGAAUAGUACUUCACCAUGUCAUUUUACCACAAAGGCUAACUGACAGUCUGUCAAAGAGUGGAGGGAAGAGCCGGGGUAUAUAUACUGCAGAGUCUUGAUUAGUGGGAUGAGCCUCAGGUGUGCAAGAGGUAGCGAGGGAGCGCCAGGUGUGCGGUGAUUGGCAGUGGAGGCAGGAGCGUCACAUCCAGACAAGUCACACAGCUCUUUUUUUUUCUUUUUUUUUUUUUACAUUUUCCACUCUAACUUUAAUAAC